rnacentral:rRNA from 1 species
CCUACGGGAGGCAGCAGUGAGGAAUAUUGGUCAAUGGGCGGGAGUCUGAACCAGCCAAGCCGCGUGCAGGAUGACGGCCCUAUGAGUUGUAAACUUCUUUUGUACAGGAAUAAAGCUGGGGACGUGUACCCUGCUGAAUGUACUUUACGAAUAAGGAUCGGCUAACUCCGUGCCAGCAGCCGCGGUAAUACGGAGGAUCCGAGCGUUAUCCGGAUUUAUUGGGUUUAAAGGGUGCGUAGGCGGAUUGAUAAGUUAGUGGUGAAAGGUCGGGGCUUAACCCGGGAACUGCAUUUGAUACUGGCAGUCUAGAGUACAGAUGAGGUAGGCGGAAUGCGUGGUGUAGCGGUGAAAUGCUUAGAGAUCACGAAGAACUCCGAUUGCGAAGGCAGCUUACGAAUCUACCACUGACGUUGAGGCACGAAAGCGUGGGUAGCAAACAGGAUUAGAUACCCUAGUAGUC